rnacentral:rRNA from 1 species
UACGUAGGUGGCAAGCGUUGUCCGGAUUUACUGGGUGUAAAGGGCGUGCAGCCGGAGAGACAAGUCAGAUGUGAAAUCCACAGGCUCAACCUGUGAACUGCAUUUGAAACUGUUUCCCUUGAGUAUCGGAGAGGUCAUCGGAAUUCCUAGUGUAGCGGUGAAAUGCAUAGAUAUCACGCAGAACCCCGAUUGCGAAGGCAGCAUACCGGUGCACAACUGACGCUCAGGCACGAAAGCGUGGGUAUCGAACAGG